rnacentral:lncRNA from 1 species
ACUCCAAAGUUUUACCUACAAAGCUUCAACUCCAAAGCUUCAUUUACAAAAGCUUCAACACAAAAGCUUCACCCACAAAAGCUUCAACACAAAAGCUUCACCCACAAAAGCUUCAACACAAAAGCUUCACCUACAAAAGCUUGACCCACAAAAGCUUGACCCACAAAAGUUUGACCUACAAAAGCUUCACCCACAAAAGCUUGACCUACAAAAGCUUCAACCAUAAAAGCUUCACCCAAAAAA